GUAUUAAGUUGGCGCAAAAGUAAUUGCAGUUUUUGCUAUUACUUUCAAUGGCAAAAACUGCAAUUACAUUUGCACCAGCUCAAUAUUUA
rnacentral:miRNA from 1 species